AUGCCACUGCCAACCUAUCUAUCGCUGCUAAUCUAUUGCUGCUGCCAAUCUAUCUACCGCUGCCAACCUACCUAUUGCUGCCAAUCUAUCUACCACUGCUAAUCUAUCACUGCUAAUCUAUCGCUGCUAAUCUAUUGCUGCUAAUCUAUCUAUCACUGCUAAUCUAUCGCUGCCAACCUACCUACCGCUGCCAACCUAUCUACCACUGCCAAUCUACCUACCGCUGCCAACCUACCUACCACUGCUAAUCUAUCACUGCUAAUCUAUCGCUGCUAAUCUAUUGCUGCUAAUCUAUCGCUGCUAAUCUAUUGCUGCUAAUCUAUCUAUCACUGCUAAUCUAUCGCUGCCAAUCUACCUACCGCUGCCAACCUACCUACCGCUGCCAACCUACCUACCGCUGCCAACCUACCUACCACUGCUAAUCUAUCACUGCUAAUCUAUCGCUGCCAACCUAUAUAGAGUAAAUCAUGGUCCCAUUUGGUCCCAUUUUGUAAAAUGGGACCAAAUGGAACUGAAACCACUAAUUUAUUAGUAAAACAUGAUCUGGGACUAGAUUUAUAAUAUAAACAGUGUAAAGUGACUAAUUUACUAAACACUAUAUGGGACCAGGACUAAGAUAUCUAAUAAUGAAACUGAGGAAAAAUUUGGUCCCAGUCCCAUGCAUAGUCACACAGCC
rnacentral:sRNA from 2 species